AUCCCGCCGGACCCCACUGCUAUCGGGAUGGGACUNNNACAUGUUAGUCGCGCGCCUUCUAGCCAUGCUGGAGGCGCGGCGCACAGCUCCGUAGCACGUGGCUAACCUACCCUUGGGACAGAAACACCCCCGGGAAACUGGGGCUAAUUUCCGAUAGGUGAAGAACCCUGGAAUGGGUUUUCGCCCAAAAGGCGUUUAGGGCAUGCUCCUAGGCGUUGCCCAAGGAUGGGGCCGCGGCCGAUCAGGUUGUUGGUGAGGUAACGGCUCACCAAGCCUAUAACCGGUGCGGGCCGNGNGAGCGGUGGCCCGGAGAUGGGUACUGAGACAAGGACCCAGGCCCUACGGGGCGCAGCAGUCGCGAAAACUUCGCAAUAAGCGAAAGCUUGACGGGGCUAUCCCG
rnacentral:rRNA from 1 species